GGGCCCGUAGCUUAGCCCGGUAGAGCGCCUCAUUUGCAAUGAGGAGGUCGCCGGUCCGAAUCCGGCCGGGUCCA
rnacentral:tRNA from 1 species